UACGUAGGGUGCAAGCGUUGUCCGGAAUUAUUUGGGCGUAAAGAGCUCGUAGGCGGUUUGUCGCGUCUGCUGUGAAAACCCGAGGCUCAACCUCCAGCCUGCAGUGGGUACGGGCAGACUAGAGUGCGGUAGGGGGAGAUUUGGAAUUCCUGGUGUAGCGGUGGAAUGCGCAGAUAUCAGGAGGAACACCGGUGGCGAAGGCGGGUCUCUGGGCCGAUACUGACGCUGAGGAGCGAAAGCGUGGGGGAGCGAACAGG
rnacentral:rRNA from 1 species